rnacentral:rRNA from 1 species
GACGAACGCUGGCGGCGUGCCUAAUACAUGCAAGUAGAACGCUGAAGGAAGGAGCUUGCUCUUUCCGGAUGAGUUGCGAACGGGUGAGUAACGCGUAGGUAACCUGCCUGGUAGCGGGGGAUAACUAUUGGAAACGAUAGCUAAUACCGCAUAAGAGUAGAUAUCGCAUGAUAGCUGCUUGAAAGGUGCAAUUGCACCACUACCAGAUGGACCUGCGUUGUAUUAGCUAGUUGGUGAGGUAACGGCUCACCAAGGCAACGAUACAUAGCCGACCUGAGAGGGUGAUCGGCCACACUGGGACUGAGACACGGCCCAGACUCCUACGGGAGGCAGCAGUAGGGAAUCUUCGGCAAUGGACGGAAGUCUGACCGAGCAACGCCGCGUGAGUGAAGAAGGUUUUCGGAUCGUAAAGCUCUGUUGUAAGAGAAGAACGAGUGUGAGAGUGGAAAGUUCACACUGUGACGGUAUCUUACCAGAAAGGGACGGCUAACUACGUGCCAGCAGCCGCGGUAAUACGUAGGUCCCGAGCGUUGUCCGGAUUUAUUGGGCGUAAAGCGAGCGCAGGCGGUUAGAUAAGUCUGAAGUUAAAGGCUGUGGCUUAACCAUAGUACGCUUUGGAAACUGUUUAACUUGAGUGCAAGAGGGGAGAGUGGAAUCCCAUGUGUAGCGGUGAAAUGCGUAGAUAUAUGGAGGAACACCGGUGGCGAAAGCGGCUCUCUGGCUUGUAACUGACGCUGAGGCUCGAAAGCGUGGGGAGCAAACAGG